UGGGGAAUAUUGCACAAUGGGCGAAAGCCUGAUGCAGCAACGCCGCGUGAGUGAUGAAGGUCUUCGGAUUGUAAAGCUCUGUCUUUUGGGACGAUAAUGACGGUACCAAAGGAGGAAGCCACGGCUAACUACGUGCCAGCAGCCGCGGUAAUACGUAGGUGGCGAGCGUUGUCCGGAUUUACUGGGCGUAAAGGGUGCGUAGGCGGAUGUUUAAGUGAGAUGUGAAUUACCCGGGCUUAACUUGGGUGCUGCAUUUCAAACUGGAUAUCUAGAGUGCAGGAGAGGAGAAUGGAAUUCCUAGUGUAGCGGUGAAAUGCGUAGAGAUUAGGAAGAACACCAGUGGCGAAGGCGAUUCUCUGGACUGUAACUGACGCUGAGGCACGAAAGCGUGGGUAGCAAACAGGAUUAGAUACCCUGGUAGUCCACGCCGUAAACGAUGAGUACUAGGUGUAGGAGGUAUCGACCCCUUCUGUGCCGCAGUAAACACAUUAAGUACUCCGCCUGGGAAGUACGAUCGCAAGAUUAAAAC
rnacentral:rRNA from 1 species